rnacentral:rRNA from 1 species
UACGGAGGGUGCAAGCGUUAUCCGGAUUCACUGGGUUUAAAGGGUGCGUAGGUUGACCGGGAAGUCAGUGGUGAAAUACUCUCGCUUAACGAGAGAACUGCCGUUGAUACUAUCGGUCUUGAAUACGGUGGAGGCGGGCGGAAUGUGUCAUGUAGUAGUGAAAUACUUAGAUAUGACACAGAACACCCAUUGCGAAGGCAGCUCGCUACGCCGCUAUUGACACUGAGGCACGAAAGCGUGGGGAUCAAACAGG